GCGAUUGACGUUGGAAGCCGGCAAUCAGAAGCAGAGACGCAGGACGUCACAGAAAGUGGGUGGGACUCCACGCACCUUCAGCCUAUGCUUUGGGACUCAUUUGACAGGAGGCCGCCCUCCUUUUAAAGACACAGAGGGCUUUUUUUAACUGGCAAAGGAGUUAGCCCAAUCAGGAAAGCCGGUCCUGGUUUGUAAAGACAGAAGGACUUUUAACUAAAACUGGAAAUUGAAGUCUGGAAGAUUAGAUGGCCCUCAUUAAUUAACCAACGAGUUCACAUGAGUAUAGUUCGCUCAAGAUCAGAGCACAUGUGCUCAGGAAGCGCGGGUCUGGGUGACAUUAAGUUACCUGCCUGCGCCUGUCUAGUUACUAAAUAAUAUUUUACCUGUUUCCAACUCAUGAAUCAGUGGGUUGACAGCCAUCCAGUUUGGGGGCCUGCACUGAAUGAAAAAUCGAAGGAGAGCGAGAGCUAGGCACCAGCAUCCGCCUCUCUGUGCUUCCAGACAGCAGACACAUGGUGACAAGCUGCCCCAUCCUUCUCCCUUUCCAUGAUGGCCUGUAGUCAGUCCCUCCGUGCGUCCACAUAGACCCAUCCUCCCAUAAGUUGCUUUGCUCUCCUCCAGCUGCUCUUCAGCAUCCACAUGCACCCACCAACAGGCCUGUGAAGCGAGCAUCGUGGCUGAAGUACUCAUGACAGUGAGUGUCUCCCUGGAAACCCGUGACCCCUGG